rnacentral:sRNA from 1 species
GUAUAAGUAAAUACUAUCCUGGGCACUGAUGAUGAGUUUGAAAUUAUGUGAAAUUGCCCUGUGAAGUGUUCGAACGUUUUAGACCUGCAGAUGAUUGAACCUAGUAAGAUAGUCUGCCCCUUUGUCCUAGUACAUGUUUACCGUUCUGUACAGUGGCUCUGAAAUGAUUACUGCAGAGCAGCGUUAAUGGAGUGCUUACUUUACAUGAGCUUUUUGUUUUUUAAUUCGAGGUAAUGGCACCAUUGACUUCCCCGAAUUUUUGACUAUGAUGGCUAGAAAAAUGAAAGAUACAGAUAGUGAAGAAGAAAUCCGUGAGGCAUUCCGAGUCUUUGACAAGGAUGGCAAUGGUUAUAUCAGUGCAGCAGAACUACGUCACGUCAUGACAAACUUAGGAGAAAAACUAACAGAUGAAGAAGUAGAUGAAAUGAUCAGAGAAGCAGAUAUUGAUGGAGACGGACAAGUCAACUAUGAAGAAUUCGUACAGAUGAUGACUGCAAAAUGAAGACCUACUUUCAACUCCUUUUUCCCCCC